GCGGCUUUUUGGGGGCUUUAUCAUAUUUAAAAACUCACCAAACUUGGCAGUCCCAUACAUCCUGUGAAAAAAUUUUAUAUUUUAAGGUCGACGCAAAAAUCGCAAAAAAAAUGGCUCAACGGCGCCCCCUAGAAUUUUUCAAAAGACCCUUUCCUAUUCACUUAGUUUAUCGUAGAGACAUGAAAUUUGGUACACUGGUAGAGCUCCCCAAGAUGCUCAGAAUUUACAAUUAAUGUCAUAGUGCAAGUAUGACAGGAAGUCGGCCAUUUUGGAUUGAAGUUGUGAAUUUGAGCCCAUUUUGGUCGUUUACAGGGUUCGCAUUUGAUCGAACUUGUCCUAGGGAUUUUGAUGGAUCGGCUUCAAACUUGGUCUGUUGGUUCAUAAGGCAUGCCCGAUUCAAAGUUAUCAAAACGGUGAGUUUUCGUGCAUGCUGAAGGGGUGAUACCAGGGGUCAAAGUUCACCGACUCACCAAGAAAUAUAAAACUUUUAUAUCUCCUACACAAAAAGUCAGAGAGACACCAAACUUUCUGUGUUUGAUCAUCUUUGAGUGCUCUACAAGAUGGUAUAGUGAAAUUUUGACAUCUCUUAAGCCACGCCCCCUUAGAACAGGAAGUGUCACGUUUUACUGUGAUUGGUUGCUAUCUGACCGCUUUGACCUAAUCAACAUGAAACUCGGUC